GCAGGAUUAGCUCAGCUGGUUAGAGCGUCGUACUAAUAUAGCUCUUCAAUCGAGCCUAUAAUUGGUAAUGCGAAGGUCAUGAGUUCAAGCCUCAUAUUCUGUA